rnacentral:rRNA from 1 species
ACACAUGCAAGUCGAACGGGAUCCAUGCAGUGCUUGCACUGCGGAAGAUCUAGUGGCGAACGGGUGAGGAACACGUGAGAAACCUGCCCUGGAUUCUGGGAUAACAGCGGGAAACUGCUGCUAAUACCGGAUACCUUCGGUCUGUCGCAUGGCAGACCGAAGAAAGUUUUUCGAUCCAGGAGGGUCUCGCGGCCUAUCAGCUAGUUGGUGGGGUAAUGGCCUACCAAGGCAUCGACGGGUAGCUGGUCUGAGAGGAUGAUCAGCCACACUGGGACUGAGACACGGCCCAGACUCCUACGGGAGGCAGCAGUGGGGAAUCUUGCGCAAUGGGCGAAAGCCUGACGCAGCAACGCCGCGUGCGGGAAGAAGGCUUUCGGGUUGUAAACCGCUUUCAGCAGGGAAGAAAAUGACGGUACCUGCAGAAGAAGGUGCGGCCAACUACGUGCCAGCAGCCGCGGUGACACGUAGGCACCAAGCGUUGUCCGGAUUUAUUGGGCGUAAAGAGCUCGUAGGCGGUUUAGUAAGUCGGGUGUGAAAACUUUGGGCUUAACCCAAAGCCUGCAUUCGAUACUGCUAUGACUUGAGUUCGGUAGGGGAGCGGGGAAUUCCUAGUGUAGCGGUGAAAUGCGCAGAUAUUAGGAGGAACACCGGUGGCGAAGGCGCCGCUCUGGGCCGAUACUGACGCUGAGGAGCGAAAGCGUGGGUAGCAAACAGGAUUAGAUACCCUGGUAGUCCACGCCGUAAACGUUGGGCACUAGAUGUGGGUCUCAACCAACGAGAUCCGCGUCGUCGCUAACGCAUUAAGUGCCCCGCCUGGGGAGUACGGUCGCAAGACUAAAACUCAAAGGAAUUGACGG